UUACGGCCAUACCACGUUGAAACACCAGUUCUCCUACGAUCAUAGAAGUUAAGCAAUGUCAAGCCUAAUCAGUACCUCGAAGGGUGAUCACUUGAGAAUAUCAGGUGC